AGAGCGAACGCUGGCGGCAGGCUUAACACAUGCAAGUCGAGCGGGCGUAGCAAUACGUCAGCGGCAGACGGGUGAGUAACGCGUGGGAACAUACCUUUUGGUUCGGAACAACACAGGGAAACUUGUGCUAAUACCGGAUAAGCCCUUACGGGGAAAGAUUUAUCGCCGAAAGAUUGGCCCGCGUCUGAUUAGCUAGUUGGUGAGGUAACGGCUCACCAAGGCGACGAUCAGUAGCUGGUCUGAGAGGAUGAUCAGCCACAUUGGGACUGAGACACGGCCCAAACUCCUACGGGAGGCAGCAGUGGGGAAUAUUGGACAAUGGGCGCAAGCCUGAUCCAGCCAUGCCGCGUGAGUGAUGAAGGCCCUAGGGUGUAAAGCUCUUUUGUGCGGGAAGAUAAUGACGGUACCGCAAGAAUAAGCCCGGCUAACUCGCGCCAGCAGCCGC
rnacentral:rRNA from 1 species